rnacentral:lncRNA from 1 species
UGGUGCCACAAGUACUUCUAAUUAAUUUUCAUCUCUAGAUUUUUUUUGACCUACGGCACUCACUAUUUGCUCGUUUAAGCUCACAUUCACAACAUGCAAGUAAUAAAAAUGGUUAAUUAAAAGAUCCCGUGCAACCAAUUUAUUUCGUAAAUAAAUAAAAUAAAAAUCUUUAUUGAAAUAAUUUUCAAAAUCUUUCUGUACUAGCACAGAUAUGGA